GUUUGUGCUUCUCUCUCUCUCUUUCUUUCUCUCUCCUUGUUCUUAUUUUUACAGGUAUCCCUGAUUCCAGAGCUCCAGAACACGACAGGUCAAGGUCACAUGAGGAGCUGCAACCAAUCCCAGAUGGCGACACUGAUGAUAAUAAUUGUGUGUGAUUUGUGAAAUGCUCCUGGUCUCUAUCUUCUUCUCUUUCCACUCUUUGUAAAUAUGAUGUCUUUUGUGUUAUCUGCUAAACCUCGGUGUGGCUCUUCCUGAGGUUUCUCUCAUUUUUAUUUCCCCGUAAAAAGGUUUUUUUUGUGGAGUUUUCCCCUCACUCGAUGUGUGGGUCUGAGGACAGAGGGUGUCACUUGCUGUACAGACUGCAAAGCCCUUGUGUUUGUGAUGUUGGGCUAUAUAAAUAAAAGUGAAUUGAACUGUGCUUAAGAUGACACUUUCCUAAGACGGUGUGUCACCCUGAGCUUCACCUUG